rnacentral:rRNA from 1 species
UACAUCCUACGGGGGGCAGCAGUGAGGAAUAUUGGUCAAUGGGCGGAAGCCUGAACCAGCCAAGUCGCGUGAGGGAAUAAGGCCCUACGGGUCGUAAACCUCUUUUGCCGGGGAGCAAGGGCGGGGACGUGUCCCGGCCCGGAGAGUACCCGGAGAAAAAGCCCCGGCUAACUACGUGCCAGCAGCCGCGGUAAUACGUAGGGGGCGAGCGUUAUCCGGAUUCACUGGGUGUAAAGGGAGCGUAGACGGCCAAGCAAGCCAGGGGUGAAAGCCCGGGGCCCAACCCCGGG